UAAUACGGAGGGUGCAAGCGUUAAUCGGAAUUACUGGGCGUAAAGCGCAUGCAGGCGGUUUGUUAAGCGAGAUGUGAAAGCCCCGGGCUCAACCUGGGAACUGCAUUUCGAACUGGCAAACUAGAGUUCUUGAGGGGGUGGUAGAAUUUCAGGUGUAGCGGUGAAAUGCGUAGAGAUCUGAAGGAAUACCAGUGGCGAAGGCGGCCACCUGGCAAGUAACUGACGCUCAGAUGCGAAAGCGUGGGUAGCAAACGGGAUUAGAUACCCCGGUAGUCCACGCCGUAAACGAUGUCUACUCGGAGUUUGGUUCCUUGAGAACUGGGCUCUUAAGCUAACGCAUUAAGUAGACCGCCUGGGGAGUACGGCCGCAAGGUUA
rnacentral:rRNA from 1 species